UACGAAGGGGGCUAGCGUUGUUCGGAAUUACUGGGCGUAAAGCGCACGUAGGCGGAUAUUUAAGUCAGGGGUGAAAUCCCGGGGCUCAACCCCGGAACUGCCUUUGAUAUUGGGUAUCUCGAGUCCGAGAGAGGUGAGUGGAAUUCCGAGUGUAGAGGUGAAAUUCGUAGAUAUUCGGAGGAACACCAGUGGCGAAGGCGGCUCACUGGCUCGGUACUGACGCUGAGGUGCGAAAGCGUGGGGAGCAAACAGG
rnacentral:rRNA from 1 species